UGAGGGAUGACGGCCUAUGGGUUGUAAACCUCUUUUCUCAAGGAGGAUAUAUGACGUUACUUGAGGA
rnacentral:rRNA from 1 species